AUGUGGACUUCAGCUGCUCUGCUGCUGCUCGCUGUGGCUUCCUAUGUGUCCUGUGCUACUGAGCUCAUCCAGCCAGAUUCAGUGGUUGUAAAGUCUGGUGAGACUUUAACCAUCAACUGUAGAGUUUCAGGAGCUUCAAUUACUGACAGCAGCAGCCAUUAUGCAACAGCUUGGAUUCGACAACCUGCAGGAAAAGCUCUGGAAUGGAUCAACACAAUUUAUUAUGAUGGAUCUAUUAAUGAAAAAGAUUCACUUAAAAACAAGUUUGUUGUUUCUCGAGACACGUCCAGUAACACGGUGACCCUACAGGGACAGAAGAUGCAGAAUGAAGAUACAGCUGUGUAUUACUGCGCUCGUGUAGCACCACACUGGACACAGCUGUGUAUUACUGUGUCCGUUAUUCACCUCAUCACAAACUGUAGAGGAACUGGUACAAAAACAUUCCUGAUCUAUCAGAAACAAGCUGAGAAAUACUAA